UACGUAGGGUGCAAGCGUUAAUCGGAAUUACUGGGCGUAAAGCGUGCGCAGGCGGUUUUGUAAGUCUGUCGUGAAAAGCCCCCGGGCUCAACCUGGGAAUUGCGAUGGAGACUGCAAGGCUUGAAUCUGGCAGAGGGGGGUAGAAUUCCACGUGUAGCAGUGAAAUGCGUAGAGAUGUGGAGGAACACCGAUGGCGAAGGCAGCCCCCUGGGUCAAGAUUGACGCUCAUGCACGAAAGCGUGGGGAGCAAACAGG
rnacentral:rRNA from 1 species